GUGUAAGAAAAUAUAUUUAUUAAAUUCCAUGGCAAUACUAUGAUAAAAUUGUUAAAUACAUGCGUAUUUUUAGACACCCAAGCAAUACAACAGGAGUUACAACAGCCAAGCACACUAGGUUUAAAACGUAUGCAAAGUUGGUAUCUUAGGUUAGGUUAGUCUUAAAUGUCAUCUGCCACACUGGAAUAUUAUUUCCCCAACAUGAUCCCACACUUCCUUUUUCAAGCAUGCAUUUGUUUAACUGCUUAGCUAAUAAAUUUUCUUGUUGAUAUGCUUUGCUGAAUCAGUAUUUUACUUGGUAUGCUACAACUUCACUAAAGUGCCUUGUGAUGAUUCUACUUAAAUUGUGAAACAUUUAUGCAAUACUGGAUUUGGAAGCUGGAAAACUUCAGUAUAUUUCAGCAACUGAAUUAUGUUAAAUGAAUGAUUAGAUUUAGUGUGUUAGGAAGACUAUUUUGUCAGCUUGAUUUAUUGAUUUAUUCUCAGAAUUAUUUUCUAUAGAUGACUAUUUUAAAUUGGCAAACAAUAUUUUCACUAGUAUUAAACAGAAGUCCAUUAAAAUCUUUGUAAAAACAGAACAUAAAAACAUCUCUAAACAGAUUAUUUACGCUGUAAAAAUAUGGUAUAAAAAGAGCUAAAAAAACAUUGAACCUGUUCACAGUGUAUAUUGUAAGAGUUACAGCAUUAUAGUACAUUGUUUUGUUUUUCAGGUGACCUGUAUGACUCCAUCAGCUCCACUGUUUUGUGUGCCACAACAGGAUCAAAGUUGAAAUUACUGUUACCUUCGAGUAGGAUUUCAGAGUCGAUUCAGUGAUCUUCUAUUUUUGCUAUCCCCUGCAUGAGAAACUUUUCUGACAUGCUGUGUAGCACAAAAUAUUGUCCAUCCCAAGCCACUCUUGAAUCACAUCAAGGAAACAUUGACAAAGUGAUGUUCAAGGAUUCUUUUUUAUUGUAUUACUACUAAGAAGUGUGAAACCUUGCCAGUUUCUAUUGUACUUUGCCUUGCUUGAGCAAUUUCUUUAUUUAAUUUUUCUUAGCCCAAAUAAUGAAAAUUAAAACAUUUAACUUUUUGCUUUGUUGCUGGUUAAGUUUUAUUUACUACAUUUCGCCCAACAUGAGACCAAAUGAGUUGGAAAGAUAUUGAACAUUCUCGUGGAGGUUGUGCAUACGCUUCCACUGGAGCUUGCUUUCACGUAACACCAGUCAAAGUGCAGGUUUGGGACUGCCCAAAAACUUACCUAAAGAUUCUGUUGGGUAUCACAUUAAAAAAUAAGGAUGUCAUCUGCUCUGCUGCACCACAAAGUCACUUGGGCAGCAUUUUCACAAGAAGAGGGUGAGACUGGAGAGGGAUUAACUCCAUCCUCUCAUGUACCACCCUGCCAUUAGACCAGCUCACCUGCAUGGAGAUGCUGAGCCACUGCCCUCCAAAAUCAAAAGCUCUCUGGAGAUAUAAUUUUCUGUUGUAAAAGCAGAAGGAAUCAGUAGACUUCUUCUGUGGGGAAAAAGUAUUGUCAUGCACCCUGGGACAACUCAUAAAGUUACAGAAACCCCUGCCAAUAUCAUCUGAGGUUUGUUUGCAUAACAUGCUAAAAGGAAACAAACACUGGCUAUCUUAGAAACACUGGGGAAAAUCCAGAGUUAUAUAAAUGGGGGAGGAGAGGAAAGAAAAUUGUUAUGGAAGAAACUGUUUUCCAGAUUCUAAGGAGAUAUUUAGAAAUUCAAGAAGCACGAGGAAAUUAGUUUUUAAACUAAUUUCUAACUAAAACUAAACAUUCCGAAUCCAUGUAAUUUGGGGUCUGCAACUGUGUUUCAAGGCUUCCUAAGGAAAAGGCAAAGAAAAAGCCAACAACAAAACCUGCAAACUGCCAACAGCAUCUCUGACCAUCAGCCACACAGAGCACUGCUUAACAUACAGCAGCACAAACUCUGUGUAGUGUGUUGAGAGGAGGGCAGACAACAGUUGUUUUCUCUAGACGAAACUGCAUCUCAGAAGGCAUAUAAUCAAGUACAGUGCUCCAAAAAAAACUGCUUUGGGAAUUGCAACCCAAUUUCCUCUGCAAUAAGCACCAAGGUACCUAAUGAGGUAAGCCCAUACGUGCAUAAUUGGUUAGGGCUUUUCUUAGUGUUAAAAACAUUAAUGCCAUUUGCACUGAAGUCUUCAUCAAAGUCUGUGGCGGAACAGAAGAUGCUAUUUACAUGGGAAGCUCUUGAUAGAUUUAUGGUGCGUGGAGCCUUGUUAGCAAUCUGAUCCUUUAAAUGUUACAUUUUCCCUAUGUAUUUCAAAUUCUUUACUAUAUUUCUAUCUACUUGUAGGUAUACAAAUAUUCUAUUUACAAAGCAAUAUUUGUCUAAAAAUAGAGCAUACGCUUUCUCUUUGCCUUUUCAGAGUGAUGUCUAAACACCUUCCCACUCCAAUGCAUCCAAUUGCCUUCACUUUUCUACUAUAUAUGUUCAACUGAGUGUCCUGGAGGACAAGAUCACAUGAAACACAACAGCCCUCAGCUUUACUCAGCUGAAUGUAUCAAAACAAACAAACAAACAAAAAAGGUGGCCCGAUGGUGCCUCUUCAGAGCAGCCCCAAAACUCAAGGUCAGCAGGAGCUUGCUGCUGCCAUGUUCCCAGCAGAGGAAAGCUCUGGUCCCCCACAUAAACCAAAGACAAACAAACACAGUCCAUUUGCCAACUGUGCCAGGACAGACAGCACAGCUACUGUUUCCCUUUGGAAAUGGUUUACCCAUGAAAGCAGCAACCACAGAUAUUAAAGACAGCUACCACAGCAAGUAUCAGUCUUGGGUCAAAGUCUGCCCAUGCAGCCACUGCACAGCAGGGGAGGUAAUUCACUGCCUGCCUGUAAUAUUAGCUUACUAUUUUGUUGAUAUAUUAACUAGUAGUUCUGUGAGGUAUAUCACAUGCAGAUCUACCAUCCCAAAAUUUAAUAUGCAAAACCAAGAUCCCCUUGAAUGUCAGAACAUCAAAAACAAUGAAUGUGUCAAAUAGGAGAGUGCAUGAUAUUACAUCAAACGUGACUGAUGUUCCAUGUAUACAGCGAAAAAUACAAAACCCCAUUACAAACCCCAAAUUGUCACAUAUGACAGGCAUGGCUCAAAAAUAAAAAGCAGCAGCACCAACGAUCUGCUUCAGAAAGAAAUUGCUUGGCAUUAACACCUACAUCUCUGAACGCUGAUCCAACUGGAAGAUUGAAGCACUGAAAUUAGGAGUAAUAGUGUUUUGGACAAAAUCCCUUCUGGUUAUAUCCCUUCUGGAAGAUGUUUUGUUGUUUUGGUUGUUUCUUUUUUUUUCUUUCUUUUUUCAUUUUUUGUUUUUUAAAAAAUAUGAACUUUCUAUGCUUCUAGGGAAAAAAAAAAACCAAAAAGCCAAAAGAAUUAAAACAAAAUUGAUGAUCAAUAAGGGAAUAACAAUUUUCAGAAAAUUAUGGUUAGGAAAUGCAGUACUUUAAGUUUCCUAAGACAUUUUUCAGAAACAAUUUGACUGAAGAGGCUCACCAGGAAGUCCAAAGGCCCUACCACAAGGAGUCUGAUCCCCCCUGAAGCCCAGAGUUUUAGACUUACAGUUGUUAUCAAUGCAUGUAGAGGCUAAACAGCACUGUGCUUUGAAAAUGAAUUUGGUACGAAGACAUUCCUAAAGACACUUCAUUGGUUUAACAUGGCACCUGGGCUCAGAAACCAAGUCCAUUCCCUGGCUGUCCUUGCCACUCAUUCUUACUGCUCCAUGCACUUAGGGGUGUCUCCACAAAAUUAGUACAUACCCUCUCACAAAUACCUUCUGGUAUUUGGAUUCGCUGCUGAAGAUUUAAGAUAGGAGUCCUCACCAGAAGCACUGAAUGGGAUAGCACUCAAAGGAAACAAGACAGAUGAAGCAGCUGAGCUUUCAAGUGCUGGAAUGAAAACUGCUUACUGGUUCAUAACCAUUAAGCAACAGUAAAUGAUACUACCUAUACUGCACAAACCUGUCUCUCCCCCAUUUGCCUCACUCUUCUGCUACUGAUACAAGAUUAUGUGUAUGCUAAGCCACUACUAUUAACAGGACUCAAAGUAAUGAAUAAUUAGAUGAGAGUGCUUUGAUAACAUUGAGGCAGUGCCUGUAUUUGUGGACAUUUCCCCUACCUAAUCAAGAACCAUUUAAAAUGCUGUUGCCUUUACUGAAUAGGAAAAGCAGCACAAAGGAACACCAGAGUACGCGAUGCUUGUAUUUAACUGAUUCAGCAUGCGAGCACCGUGUUAGGCUGCUC
rnacentral:lncRNA from 1 species